rnacentral:lncRNA from 1 species
CGUCUUCAUGGUGUACCUAUGUCCAUUAUCUCCGAUAGAGAUAGUAGGUUCACCUCAAGAUUCUGGCAAUCACUACAACAUUCCUUAGGAAAAAGGCUAGACAUGAUCACAGCCUACCAUCCACAGACCGACGGACAGAGUGAGAGGACCUGAGAACAUACAUUAGGGAAAUCGUACGUCUUCAUGGUGUACCUAUGUCCAUUAUCUCCGAUAGAGAUAGUAGGUUCACCUCAAGAUUCUGGCAAUCACUACAACAUUCCUUAGGAAAAAGGCUAGACAUGAUCACAGCCUACCAUCCACAGACCGACGGACAGAGUGAGAGGACCUUCCAAACACUGGAAGAUAUGUUGUGAGCCUGCGUGAUUGACUUUGGGAAGGCAUGGGAUACUCAUUUACCCC